rnacentral:rRNA from 1 species
GACGAACGCUGGCGGCGUGCUUAACACAUGCAAGUCGAACGGAAAGGCCCUGCUUUCGUGGGGUGCUCGAGUGGCGAACGGGUGUUAAACACUUGAGUACCUUCCUCUUGACUUUGGUAUACUUUCAGGAAACUUGGGCAAAUCCCCGAUAGGAGCUCCUUCUGCUUGUUGUUGGUUGGAAAGUUCCGUCGGUUGGGUACGGACUCGCGGUUUAUUAGCUUGUUGGUGGGGUGGUGGCUUAGCAAGGCUUUGACGGGUAGCCGGCCUGAGAGGGUGACCGGACACAUUGGGACAGAGAUACGGCCCAGACUCAUACGGGAGGGAGGAGUGGAGAAUAUUGCAAGAUGGGCGGAAGCCUGGUGGAGCAACGCCGCGUGGGAGAUGACGGCCUUAGGGGUAUAAACCGCUUGCGACUGUGAAGAAGAGUGAGUGACGGUAAUGGGUAAAGAAGCACCGGCUAACUACGUG